GGCGGCGUGCCUAAUACAUGCAAGUCGAGCGGCAGCAUGAUCUAGCUUGCUAGAUUGAUGGCGAGUGGCGAACGGGUGAGUAAUACAUCGGAACGUGCCCUGUAGUGGGGGAUAACUAGUCGAAAGAUUAGCUAAUACCGCAUACGACCUGAGGGUGAAAGUGGGGGACCGCAAGGCCUCAUGCUAUAGGAGCGGCCGAUGUCUGAUUAGCUAGUUGGUGGGGUAAAGGCCCACCAAGGCGACGAUCAGUAGCUGGUCUGAGAGGACGAUCAGCCACACUGGGACUGAGACACGG
rnacentral:rRNA from 1 species